rnacentral:lncRNA from 1 species
CGGGUACUGGCUAAGUGUGAUUAAAAGUAAUCAUCUGUCUGAUGAAUAUUUUCCUCUGACUUUUGGCAGGAUAACCCAUCUGAAAUUGUGCCAGAGUUUACAGGAACACUGAUGCCAGCAAUUUAGGGAUCUUCACAUUCAGUCUCAGUGCUAUUUGUUGCAUCUUGCUUCCGAUGAAAGUGCAAGCUCUGAAUAAGUCUCAAAUCUUCUUGCUCACUGACCUAGCACAGUGAAGCCAAAACAACAUCCCCAUCACUGCAAACAAUAAUCAGCUCUCCCAAAGAAGGCAUAGGUAAGUAAUGCCCUUCUCAGUGUGAACAGUCA